rnacentral:tRNA from 1 species
GUCCCCAUCGUCUAGAGGCCUAGGACAUUCCCUUUUCACGGGAACAACGGGGGUUCAAACCCCCCUGGGGAUA